UAUUAUUAUUAUUAUUUUUCAGGAUGACAUGAUCAGGAGUUGCUGGUGUUCUGUUCUCCUGGACAGCUUCACUCCGCAAAUCGCUCAACCACUGAGGGGAGGAACUUCACCAUUCAAAAGACAAUGUCUUCAGGCAGAGUCCAGCAAAGCAGCUUCCCCUGGAAAUCCUCAGGGAAGUUAUUUUGUCAGCGGGUGACUCUGCAUGUUUGACUCUUUCUCUGGUUUGCAGAUGGUUUAGGGAUGUGGUCACUCAAGAAGUUUUCCGGAAAGCGGCACACUUUGCCUGGCUAGACAAAUUGAGUUCAGACGGAUGUACAGCAUCAGGGAAUGCUUGCAGUGCAGAGCCCUUUUCAAGUUUAACCCACCAGGGUACAGGGAAGAGGCCGGCGUGGUGAUCUUCUGGGCUUUUGUUUACACAGGAUUUUGUUCCAAGGACUAUUUUUUUUUUUUUUUUUUUUUUUUUUUUUUUUUUUUGCGGCAUGAAACACAUUUGUGUGUCCAUUGAAGGGAAAUUGAGAAUGAACUGAGAUCAACUGGUUUUGAUGUAUUAAUUGAUGUCAUUUAAAGUUAAACUUUGCAGUGUAUAAUGUUUUAAUAAAAAAGCUAUGGCAAACA